rnacentral:rRNA from 1 species
UACGUAGGGCGCAAGCGUUUGUCCGGAAUUAUUGGGCGUAAAGAGCUCGUAGGCGGCUUGUCGCGUCGGAUGUGAAAGCCCGGGGCUUAACCCCGGGUCUGCAUUCGAUACGGGCAGGCUAGAGUUCGGUAGGGGAGAUCGGAAUUCCUGGUGUAGCGGUGAAAUGCGCAGAUAUCAGGAGGAACACCGGUGGCGAAGGCGGAUCUCUGGGCCGAUACUGACGCUGAGGAGCGAAAGCGUGGGGAGCGAACAGG